GGAAUUUUCCGCAAUGGGGGAAACCCUGACGCAGCGACGCCGCGUGGGCGAUGAAGGCCUUCGGGUCGUAAAGCCCUGUCGAGUGGGACGAAACGCCUGACGGUACCACUGGAGGAAGCCCCGGCCAACUCCGUGCCAGCAGCCCGGUAAUACGGAGGGGGCAAGCGUUGUUCGGAAUCAUUGGGCGUAAAGGGCGCGUAGGCGGCCUUGUAAGUCGGUUGUGAAAUCCCUUGGCUUAACCAAGGAACUGCAACCGAAACUGCAGAGCUAGAGUCCGGGAGAGGGUAGUGGAAUUCCCAGUGUAGCGGUGAAAUGCGUAGAUAUUGGGAGGAACACCAGUGGCGAAGGCGGCAACCUGGACCGGUACUGACGCUGAGGCGCGAAAGCUAGGGGAGCAAACAGGAUUAGAUACCCCAGUAGUC
rnacentral:rRNA from 1 species